rnacentral:rRNA from 1 species
GAUGAACGCUGGCGGCGUGCUUAACACAUGCAAGUCGAACGGAAAGGCCCAAGCUUGCUUGGGUACUCGAUUGGCGAACGGGUGAGUAACACGUGGGGGAUCUGCCCUUCACUUCGGGAUAAGCCUGGGAAACUGGGUCUAAUACCGGAUAGGACCUCUUUUUGGAUGUUGUGGUGGAAAGUUUGUCGGUUUGGGAUGAGCUUGUGGCCUAUCCGCUUGUUGGUGGGGUAAUGGCCUACCAAGGCGUCGACGGGAAGCCGGCCUGGGAGGGUGUAAGACCACAUUGGGACUGAGGUACGGCACAGACUCCUACGGGAGGCAGCAGUGGGGAAUCUUGCACAAUGGGCGCAAGCCUGAUGCAGCGACGCCGCGUGGGGGAUGACGGCCUUCGGGUUGUAAAAUCCUUUCGCUAGGGACGAAGCGUUAUGUGACGGUACCUGGAGAAGAAGCACCGGCUAACUACGUG